rnacentral:tRNA from 1 species
GGACCUAUAGCAUAACUGGAUAGUGCACGCCGCUACGGACGGUGGGAUCUAGAUUCGAAUUCUAGUAGGUCCACCA